rnacentral:ncRNA from 2 species
UUAUGAGAUAGAGGUUGCAUUAGGCGAAGAGUAUCUUUUUUGAAGUAUAGGGCUAAUGAGAAAAAGAGAAAGGCGUCGAUGCCGAAAGAAAAAGAGAGCCUAUCUCGAUUUUUCUUGGGGGUAUGUUGAAGAAGCGUAUCACUGUCCUUUUUAGGAUGAGCUAUCCAUAUA